AAUAAAAUAAAUCAUUAUAUUGCUUCUGUGUCAUCUACUCCAGCCUUAUAUUGAUAAGACUUUUUCUUUUGAAUUUCACAGGACACUAGCAACAUGGCUUUUUUUUCUACAUGGAGUUAAAAGUCCUUACUUCAACUGCUGCUGAGAUAGUUGAUGGAGGACCAUGAAUUGAGCUCCUCAUUUUACUGAAUUUGAGACACAGAUGGGACUUGUGGAGGGGAGACAGUUCUCUCAGAGAGGGAUAGCUGAUAACUAUGAGGGCCACGUAAUAUUCAAAUAAUUGGUGGUGAUUUCCAGCAUGAACAAACUUGAAAAGCUCUAUUAUUCCAGAUGAAUCUUGUUCAGCAUAUUUAAAAUACUUUUAUACUUGAGGUAUACAAAUAUAAAAUAAUUCUUAUAUUUGUGUUUGUAUCAUUAGAUUUGUGGAAAAAA
rnacentral:lncRNA from 1 species